UACGAAGGUGGCAAGCGUUGUUCGGAUUUACUGGGCGUACAGGGAGCGUAGGCGGUUGGAUAAGCCCUCCGUGAAAUCUCCAGGCUUAACCUGGAAAGUGCAGAGGGGACUGUUCAGCUAGAGGAUGGGAGAGGAGCGCGGAAUUCCCAGUGUAGCGGUGAAAUGCGUAGAUAUUGGGAAGAACACCGGUGGCGCAAGCGGCUUGCUGGGC
rnacentral:rRNA from 1 species